AACUCCCCUGUCCUGCAGAAGCCCAGCUCCUGUUCUGUUUUCCAUCCUCUCACUUAUCACCACCGACACAUGCUGUUUAUUUGUUGUCUGUUUUCUCUCACAGAAUGUCAGUGCUGGGAUGACUGGGCUCCUGUCCCUGACACAGCGGGAACACCAUAACUAUGAGUCCAGUGAAAGAACGUGGAAACUGAGCUCAGACUCAGCCUGACCGCCACUUCCAUUGCUGACCAGGGCCUUGGGCCUGUUGGCCAACACUCCUCUCUUCUGUCACCUUUGUGCUGAAAUCUCACAACUUGCAGGCAGGAACCACAGAAAACAUCAGAUGCAGUCAAUCUAUUUGUUGUGUACCAUCCCUCAUUCCUCCUUGCAGGACAGCUAGGUCUGCUGUGGGUCUUGGCUCCCCAUUCACACUAAAGGCUGAAUGCUCUGUGGCCAGUUCUCAAUUUGGACCAUGCUUUCCUGUCACAGCAGCCCAGACUACCCUCUGUCACCCAGCCCAGGAUGAGCGUAUCUGUUACCCCCAGGUUGACACUGCAAAAUCUGAAAAUGGCUCACUAUGCAGAGACAGUGCAGGGCAGGAGUGGAGUCCGAUCUCCAGAACCAGGCUUGAAUUCUGACACUGGGACAUCCUUGCUAUGUGACUCCGACCAAUUCACUUGACCUCUCUGGACUUGGCAUAAGAAGGGGAGAAUAGAAAUAUCUGUCACAUGGGGUUGCUGUAAGGAUUGAAGUGUGC
rnacentral:lncRNA from 1 species